rnacentral:rRNA from 1 species
ACGUAGGGGGCAAGCGUUGUCCGGAGUUACUGGGCGUAAAGCGCCCGCAGGCGGUCUUCUAAGUUCAGACUGACAAUCCCCAGCUUCACUGGGGAGGGUGUAUGAAAACUGGGAGACUUGAGGGAUAGAGAGGGACAUGGAAUUCCGGGUGGAGUGGUGAAAUGCGUAGAUAUCCGGAGGAACACCAAAGGCGAAGGCAAUGUCCUGGCUAUUUCCUGACGCUCAGGGGCGAAAGCUAGGGGAGCGAACGGGAUUAGAUACCCCGGUAGUCCUAGCCGUAAACGAUGACCACUAGAUGUUCGGGGUAUCGACCCCCUGAGUAUCGAAGCUAACGCGAGAAGUGGUCCGCCUGGGGAGUACGGUCGCAAGAUUA